AUUGAACGCUAGCGGCAGGCUUAACACAUGCAAGUCGAACGGAGUGGCGGACGGGUGAGUAAUGUCUUGGAAAGUGCCCAAUGGCGGGGGAUAACUACUCGAAACGGUGGCUAAUACCGCAUCCUAUCGGCGCGGCCUAUGUCGGAUUAGCUAGUUGGUGGGGUAAAGGCUCACCAAGGCAACGAUCCGUAACUGGUCUGAGAGGACGAUCAGUCACACUGGGACUUAGACACGGCCCAGACUCCUACGGGAGGCAGCAGUGGGGAAUUGUGGACAAUGGGCGAAACCCUGAUCCAGCCAUGCCGCGUGUAUGAAGAAGGUCGUCGGGUUGUAAAGUACUUUUGGUGGUGAAGCGUUACCAGCAGAAUAAGCACCGGCUAACUACGUGCCAGCAGCCGCGGUAAUUC
rnacentral:rRNA from 1 species